GCUGAUGAUGUCAUUGAUACAAAGAAGAAAAUGCAAACCAGGCAACCUUAAGUCAGUUUCCGGGUGAGCUCAGCUGUAUUUUGGCCAUGGCUUUGCAGAGCACUCUGGAAGCAGUGUGGCUGGGGGUUCUUCUCCUCAGCUGUCUCUGGAAUGUUGCAAAGAGCGAAGACCAAGUGUUUCAACCUUCCAUAGUGGCAUCUUCAGAGGGAGCUGUGGCAGAAAUCUUCUGUAAUCACUCUGUGUCCAAUGCUUACAGCUUCUUCUGGUACCUUUACAUCCCCGGUCGUGCGCCAAGGCUCCUCAUUAAGGGCUCGAGACCUUCUCAGCAGGGACGAUACAACAUGACAUACGAGCGGUUCUCUUCCUCACUGCUCAUCCUCCAGGUGCAGGAGGCAGAUGCUGCUGUUUACUACUGUGCUCUGGAGCACACAGAGGCAGGGAACCCACAAACAACUGAACAGAAACUGGACAGAUUAUAA